UGCAGGAGGCCAGCUUCCUAGCACCCCACUCUAGAGAAGUGGCGAUCCCUACAAGCAUGUAGCACGGGCUCUGUCGAUUGGCCCACCUUGGCAGGCUGUCCUUUGGACUCUGUUGUGUGAAGCCACCUGCCUGCCCUAUAGUUCCAUUUUUUGGAAUUUGGGGGGAAACAAAACCACCACCAACAAAAAGAUGUCCCCCUUUCCUGGGGCUCAAUCCUGGUACUGAGUUGCUGUCAACAGAGCACCCUGGUACCAGAGAGCAGACAUUAGUGAGAAAGAAGGUGUUGGUGUGAACCCAGGGUCAGCUCCUGAGUUCCUAGAUGGGGGCUUAGGGACGGAGAGGGAAUGGAGCUGACAUCAGUUACUGUGGAGAAAAAAUUCAUCUUACUUGUAAUUCAACGUCACUCACAUUCAGUGGGGGAAAUCAUGAGGUUAGUGAUAAUUUUUCUCGGGUUUUAUUUUCUUAAUCUAACAUGCCACCUUCUAGAAUUUUCUCUCAAAGUUUCUAGAUUGAUAGUUUUUAAAAGGAGGGCUUGAUGUCUUCUCAACGCACAUAGAACAUAUGGAUGGCAGUCUUGCUGUUAACAAUGAUCUAAGGAGUUUUAUACUUUUUGUUUUUUUCUCUUUGUGGGCACCAUGUUUAGUGUUUGAACAUUAAAAAGGAAGGCUUCACUGGAGCAAGACUGAUAGUUGUUAGCUGCUCUUCCUCAUGGUGGCUAAAAUAGGAUUAUGCAUAACUCAUACAUUUGUACACUGCACAUUUUUCAUAAAAUGUUCCUACAAAGUUUCUGCCAAAACACAAAAGAUAUACCAACACUGACUGCUCUUACUUCUAGUAAUUUAUUAUAGCUUUUAAAAAUAAGCUUGUAAAAUAUGUUUGAUUUUCUUUACUUGGAACAGUAUAAUUUUAGGGGAAAAUCUUAUUGAAAAAAUGGUGAGUGAGCUGAGCAUAGUGACAGGUGGCUGUGAUCCCAGCACUUAGGAAAAGCAAGAGGCUCAUGUGUUAGAGGUCUGCCAGGCCUACACAGCAAGGCCUUGUCUUACAAGGCCACGUGCUGAUGGUAUGGCUCAGGGUGGGUGCCUCCCUCACAUAGGUGAGGCCCCGUGUUUCAGCCUCUCCCUUCCACAGGUGAAGCUCCAGGCUAUUCUGUGACCCCAACUCUCGUUCACAUUAGGCUUGGUGUGUGCUCAUCCUCACCGUGAGCUAACCUGCCAUGGAAGGGGAGCACGUCCAUCAGGUGAGUAUGAGCCACGCUGGGCAGCAGACACCAGCUAAUAAGGUGAUGCCCAUUCGCAGACAGGACUGAAUCAAAGUGGGACACCGCACAGAUGCGUGUGACAGUUUCCCAUCGGCUAAGUGAAGCUGUUUUGGUUGUGCUACUGGCUGUCCACGCCAGUAUGAUAGAGCCUUGCAGGUGGAGGGGAUAGAACUCAGCACUAACCUCAUAGUGGGUUACCUCCGGGUAAUGUCUGGUCUCUCAUCUUCACAUCAAGGAAGAUAGAAGUAAAAAUGACCCUUUCCCACCUUGUUUCUCUAGAGAUAUUCCUAAGUCUCAGCUAUACACAUCAUAUAUAACUUUUUAUUAUUAACUAUAGUAGUAUAAUAAUAGCUAUGAAAUGUGUACCAAAUACCGUGCUAGCACAUGCAUGUUCCUGUUUUCAUUUAAUCCUCAUGAGAAUGUUGGAGGAUGUUAUUCCCGAUCUUUAUGGAUGAGACCUGAAGAGAACAGAGGUGAAGAAGUUCAGGUCCAGUCUUACCAGGUAGCCCUCUCAAAUGCAGUACUGGUUUGUGAAGUGUUUGCUAAUCUACUAAGCACUGGCAGUGAAGACACAGAAGGGAUCAAAUACAUGUCAAAUGUGAAGGCACCCAGAUUGGGGGUAGGCAACUAGUUGCUUAGGACUACUGGCUAAAAAUAAUACUCUCUAUAUAUACCAGAAGUUCAUAUAUAUAUAUAUAUAUACACACACACCAGAAGUUUCCCAAUGAGAAAUGUCCCAGAAAAACAGUUUUUAAAGAUGAGGCUAGGAUCCUCGGCAAGUACUCAUUAAUCAUUAAGGCCUUUGAUGACAUAGGGGAGACCAUUUCUCAGAAAUUUCCUCCC
rnacentral:lncRNA from 1 species